CCUACGGGGGGCAGCAGUGAGGAAUAUUGGUCAAUGGGCGUAAGCCUGAACCAGCCAUCCCGCGUGAAGGAAGAAGGCGCUAUGCGUCGUAAACUUCUUUUCCAGAGGAAUAAAAUUUCGUACGUGUACGGAACUGAAGGUACUUUGGGAAUAAGCAUCGGCUAACUCCGUGCCAGCAGCCGCGGUAAUACGGAGGAUGCGGGAGUUAUCGGGAUUUAUUGGGUCUAAAGGGUGUUAAGACGGCUUUAGUGAAAACCUUCAGCUUAACUGGAGAACUGCCAUUGAUACUGUUAGUCUUGAGUACGGUCAAGGUAGGCGGAAUGUGUAAUGUAGCGGUGAAAUGCUUAGAUAUUACACAGAACACCGAUUGCGAAGGCAGCUUACUGGGCCAUUACUGACGCUGAUGCACGAAAGCGUGGGGAGCGAACAGGAUUAGAUACCCCAGUAGUC
rnacentral:rRNA from 1 species